ACGGAGGAACCCGAAAAGCCGUCAAGUGAGUAGGGA
rnacentral:ncRNA from 1 species